ACUACGGGGGGCAGCAGUGAGGAAUAUUGGUCAAUGGACGAGAGUCUGAACCAGCCAAGUAGCGUGAAGGAUGACUGCCCUAUGGGUUGUAAACUUCUUUUAUAAAGGAAUAAAACGAGGCACGUGUGCCUUUUUGCAUGUACUUUAUGAAUAAGAAUCGGCUAACUCCGUGCCAGCAGCCGCGGUAAUACGGAGGAUCCGAGCGUUAUCCGGAUUGGUUGGGUUUAAAGGGAGCGUAGAUGGGUUGUUAAGUCAGUUGUGAAAGUUUGCGGCUCAACCGUAAAAUUGCAAUUGAUACUGGCAGUCUUGAGUACAGUUGAGGUAGGCGGAAUUCGUGGUGUAGCGGUGAACUGCUUAGAUAUCACGAAGAACCCCGAUUGCGAAGGCAGCUUACUAAACUGUGACUGACAUUGAUGCUCGAAAGUGUGGGUAUCAAACAGGAUUCGAUACCCGAGUAGUC
rnacentral:rRNA from 1 species